AAUUAUAUAGUCUAUUAGGAUUUUAAAUUGCAAAUUUAAAGGUAUAUAUUUAUAUUAUAAUUU
rnacentral:tRNA from 1 species